rnacentral:rRNA from 1 species
GACGAAGGAUGCAAGCGUUAUCCGGAUUCAUUGGGUUUAAAGGGAGCGUAGGCGGACUUAUAAGUCAGUGGUGAAAUCUCUGGGCUUAACUCAGAAACUGCCAUUGAUACUGUAGGUCUAGAGUACAUUUGCUGUGGGCGGAAUAUGACAUGUAGUGGUGAAAUACUUAGAUAUGUCAUAGAACACCGAUUGCGAAGGCAGCUCGACAAAAAUGUAACGUGACGCUGAGGCUCGAAAGUGCGGGGAUCAAACAGG